AGGCAACUUCCUUUUUCUGCGAAGCGAGACUCGGAAGUCGUUUUUGAGGUUGGAGCGUUUUAAACAGCGCCACGCAGCGGUGGAACCGAGAACUACAGCUGACCGGAAAUGCCCCCUGCACACCUUACUGGUUAAUGCUGCGGGCAGCCCAUCUGUGAUUGUCACCUGAAGUGAUUCAACAACAGACCCAUUGUGGUCCACCGGAUACUGACAACGUGCCAUCACUUUGCACAGCAGAAAUGAGCACGUUUACCAGUGUCUAACAUUUAGAUCAGAGCCAAGCAGAGCCGAGCAGAGCAGAGGUCUACUGCAGAGUCAAGUGAGCCGACUGUAAAUGCCAAGUUUACAUAUUCCCAUUGCACACAAAAUCCUGAUCUUAGUGGUUUUAAGUUGGAUUUUUACCAUUGGAAAAUGGGUAUUAUUGGGGGGGGUUUAGUAAAAUAGGCGUCUAUACUUACUUAUACUUACUCAUAUGGUGCAUUGCCUGUGUCUUAAAUGCACGCGCAUUACUUAACAGUCUGGAUCAAUCAGAGGCAGAUAGGGCGAGUCAUGCCGAGCAGAAGUGUGAUCCAAAAUAACAACUGUUAGGUAAUGAUGCACGUGAGGCAGAAGUAAAGGCUCGAUUCCAAACCAAGA